rnacentral:rRNA from 1 species
AAGACUUUAGCUUGCURGAGUUGGAAGAGUUGCGAACGGGUGAGUAACGCGUAGGUAACCUGCCUAUUAGUGGGGGAUAACUAUUGGAAACGAUAGCUAAUACCGCAUAAUAGUGUUUAACACAUGUUAGAGACUUAAAAGAUGCRAUUGCAUCACUAGUAGAUGGACCUGCGUUGUAUUAGCUAGUUGGUGGGGUAACGGCCUACCAAGGCGACGAUACAUAGCCGACCUGAGAGGGUGAUCGGCCACACUGGGACUGAGACACGGCCCAGACUCCUACGGGAGGCAGCAGUAGGGAAUCUUCGGCAAUGGGGGCAACCCUGACCGAGCAACGCCGCGUGAGUGAAGAAGGUUUUCGGAUCGUAAAGCUCUGUUGUAAGAGAAGAACGUGUGUGAGAGUGGAAAGUUCACACAGUGACGGUAACUUACCAGAAAGGGACGGCUAACUACGUGCCAGCAGCCGCGGUAAUACGUAGGUCCCGAGCGUUGUCCGGAUUUAUUGGGCGUAAAGCGAGCGCAGGCGGUUUAAUAAGUCUGAAGUUAAAGGCAGUGGCU